rnacentral:rRNA from 1 species
AUUUGUAGCAUGCACUUUAAGGAAUAUUUUUGUCUCAGAAGCUAAGCAAGGCCGGGCCUGGUUAGUACCUGGAUGGGAGACCACUGGGAAAAUCAGGUGCUGCAGUGG